AGGUUUCUGUAUCUGCAGGUUACUGUUGGUGCCUCUAAUGGUCAGUCGAUACUUGGCAUGUUGAAGUCGCCAAGUAUCCAUAUAGUGCUAUUUUGUGGAAUAUGUUUAAGGAAUGCCAAAAGUUCAUUAGGGACACCUCAUCAUUUUCAUUUGGUUUGUGAGAAGAAGAGAUGUAGAUAUCUUUUAUACCUUUGAUUGACAGUUUUGCCCAAACGGCAUUAUUAUUUGUUUUUAGUUGGAGCUGUUCUUGGCUAGAGAGAGAUCGUGUGAUUGCAAUUAGAGCACCCCCGCCUUUGCCUUCUGACCUAUUAUCACAAAAAACUUGGUAAUCGAGGUGGUCAGGGAAUAUUUCAGAGGAGCAGUGGGGUAAUGGUAGGACGCUGGCUUAGGGAUCGAGAGGUCCCGGGUUCGAAUCCCGCCCUGACCGCUGGAAUUUCCUUGAGCAAGAAAUUUAUCACACAACUGCUCCUUUCCACCCAGGUGUAUAAAUGGGUACCUGUGAGGGAAAUAAGCCAAUGUGCCGUGGCUGCAUACUGCGCCAAGAUGUUAACGGACGACUUAUGACCCAGUGAUCAGGGAAAAAAUGUAAAGCGCCUUUGAACGCACAUCUCGAGUAUGAAAAGGGCGCUAUAUAAAUGUGGUUUAAAAAUGUAUUGUUUUUUGUGACCUCUUUUUAUUAUGUUUUGCAUACUCGAUCGAAAUAUGAAAUAAAAAAUGAUGUUUUAGUUUUAA